AGAGGGCAUGGGCGAAAGUUGCCCAAUUGGUGUCCGCACUGCAGUGGGGGAGAUUGAGCGCGAUGCGAGUGCUAUUCAAAAGAAAUGGGCAGACGUAAAAUCCCUCGUCAAAAAAAAGCUGCUGAGAGGGCGAGGGAGAUGAAGAAGACAGGAGGAGGGAUGUCCUCUGUGAAACAGAGGACGGAACGCCUUGGAGGAGAGGAUUUUGGAAGUUAUAGGGGAAUCGCUGGUAGGAGGAGUUCAAGGAGGGGUGGACACUGGAGACCCCGGCGGAUACAACAGCUGUAUGCAGCUUCUACAGCAGAUACAGAACAGCUGGAGCUGCACCCACCCAAGUCAUCGUACCUCCCCACAUUGAACUUGAAGUUCAACAAAAUAAUUCUGACGAAGAUCUUACUCUGUCAAAACUAAUUUCAGAGUCCAUCCUCCAGCCCACACCAGUGACGACACACAGCAUGGAGGACAUGAUCUUCAUUCAGAGAGACCUUUUGGAGAAAGUGCGGCAACUGAGAAGAGUUCAAGAGCAACUUUUACUGGUGGAGAGAGAGAGACUGCUCUUGGCCAAAGCCAAAUUUGAGCUUAAAAAAAAAAGAGUAUUAGUAAAUAAUUAAUAAUAAAUAAAAUUG